GGGAGGUGUGGUGUGGGGAUUGGGGGGGUGUGGGGAGGUGUAACACCCCCCGAAGAAUAGGAAUUUGUUUUUCAGUCGGUAAAAUUGGAAUUUAGUCGGUAAAAUGGGGAUCUUGACUGGUAAGUAAUCCUUUUAAAUGUUCAGACGAAAAAACUGUCCUUCAUGUAAUCUUUAAAAAAUUCAAAAAUAUUAAAAAGAUCUGCAGUACAAUUUUUCCGUUUUAUUGUUCAUUGCCACAUCAUCUCUGACACCUUCAAUCGGUUGAUUUAUUAACAUUGCAUUGUAUACCCGGAAUGAUAUAUACACACAGUGUUAUAUCCGGGAAGCAGCAAUACCGCUGCGCUGGAUUUUGCAAAAACAAAUUCUGCUGCAAGCAGCUCUGCGGGGGUUCGAAGAAACAUGUGAUUUUUCAUAUCAUCACCCCAGCCAUUACGGUCAUUUUGUGUAUUUACCCUGCUGCGAAGUUUGCGUUUAAUGUGAGCAGUUUUGCAUCGCAAGAAUACUGAACAAUCACAAGCCGUUAUUUUGAUAUUACGCAGCCCUUUUAUAUGGACACGUUGCCUUUAAGGAUACACUGAUUGGGAGAAAUUAUAUAACGAACCUGAGAAUUAUAUGGUGGAAAUUCAGAUUUCGAAAGGUUGUGGAAGAUGAACGCAGUCUAAUCCAUAGUCGCAUGAAGGAAAAUUCAAGUGCUGAUUUUAAAGAGCUCUGCCAUUUAAAUACAAUGGAAUCUAUGCCAAGAAUGGAUUCAAAACAGCUGUCAUACCGCAUUGCAGUUCCUGAUGACUUUACUCAGAUCGAUUUGCUACUUCAACAGCAUUUUAUUUCGCAGGAGCCAACUGACGUAGCGCUUGGGCUGAAUCGAUCAACGCCAGGUUAUGUUGAGAAUCUCCAAGAAGUCAUCAAGCAAUGCUUGACUCAACCGUACACCUUCGUUGCCAUAAGUGAAGAAGAUGAAAUCGUCGGGGUACGCUUGAAUGAACUGCAUAAACCAAGUCAAAAUGCAAUUGAUGACAGGAAGCUAGGGAAUGCUGUUCGAGGCGGACUCUCUGCUUGGGAAAUUUUGCAGGCCUACUUGGCAAAACUAGAAGAGGAUGUUGACAGGCUUAUCCCAGAAGAUUGUCGUAAGAACAUACUGAAAUUUUCCAUUCUGUGUGUGCACCAGAAAUUUCGACGCCUUGGCAUCGCGGCCAAAUUGGUGGAUUUAUCUUUACAAAACGCCCGAAUGUUCGAUUUCUGUUGCGUUUUUGCAGUGUUAACUGCAAAGGCAACUCAAAACCUUUUCAAGAAGGAUUGCUUUGAAGUCUUGCGAGUGAUAAAGCAUAAAGAUUUUGUAGAUGAAAACGGAAAGAUAUUAUUGAACUGUAACGAUGGAACCGACCAAGGACUGCUAGUAUUUAAAAGAAUUCAGGCUAGAAAAUAGUGUUUUGAUUCAGCAUUGAAACAGAAUUCAGCAUGGUUAUGGUUGCAGUAUAAACAUUGAUCAACAGUCUGGCUAAAAAAGAAAAUCAAAUUAUUGGGUUAUGAAACGAUGUGUUGGUUUGUUGAGAAGAACAUUUACUUAUAAAUUAUGCAAAGAGGAAGGGCUGACGUCGCUAGCUUGACCUCUCUCGAGAUUGGGAAUGUUCGAAAUAACACAUUAUCCACAAAACCCGACAAUUCUUAGGUUAUCAACUAUUUAAAACAACUGAACAGAUUUUCAAGUUACUGAACAACGGAGGUUUCAAGCUUUGGUGAUCUCAUCUUAAUGAAAAUGCGCUACUACCUGCUAUCUCAACUGAUUUAUUUGAUAAUAACUGAAGGUGGUAAAUAGAAGUAUGCAUAUCUCAAAGUGAAAGGAAAGGUCAGAAAAUGAAUAAUGAUUAAAAAAAUCGAAUGUUUUUACAGGAUAGCCUAUCAGUUCCAGAUGUUAUCACUGGGGUCCUGAUACUAUAUCAUAUAGCAUAAAGCAUAUAUUUAAUAGUAACAGAUCUGCGAAAAAUAAAUUAAAUGAGUAAAAUCCAGUCCAAUCCAAAGAUAAAAAAGAUAAAAAUAGCGUCACAUCAUGAAAUGAUUUUUUAAUGGUCUUAAACGUCUAAAAACAAGACUCGAUUCAAUCUUUCUGGCAAUUAGUGGCAAGUUGUUCAAUUCAUUUUCUGCCAGAUAAUAAAACCUUUUCGAUCAAAUUCUGUUUCACUUAAGACAACUUAACAAGAUGUUGGUCAUUUCUGGUAUUUUUCCCAUGAGCAUUUAUGACGAAAUAAUCUUUCAUUGCUCUGCAGAUAGGCUUAGGUAUCAAACACCAAAAUACAGACAAACUUCACCAAAUUCCUGCUCUGAUACUAGGCACAUGCAAGCUGACUGAUGCAAGCCCGUUUGAUCUUAUUAUAUCAAGGCUUCUACGCUCACGACUUUCAAUUCUUUUCUUGUAUCUUGUAGACCAUCCGAGGUACAACGAACCACAAUAUCCAAGCACAGGCUUUAUCAUGGUGCGAUAACUCUUUUCAGCGCUCGCAGUGUCAAUGGAGCUUCUGAUUCCGCUAGGUAGAUUUAGCCUUCAAGUAGCCUUUUUAUAAAUCUUGAAGCUUCAAAAGUAUCAUCAAAACUGCUUUCUAGAUGUCACAUUACUUUUACUUAUGCAAAAAACUUAAUUUUGUUCGUAAAAAAUUUCUUAUCGAAACGUCUUGCAAGAAACAACACCAGCAAAUUACUUGGAAAAACUCGUAACACAUAUAAUUAAUGUCUCCUGUAAACCUGGGGUCAUGCCUGAUAUUUCGAAAAUUGUGAAGGUGAUCCCCGUUUUUAAGAUAAACCCUAAGAGAAGAUAACAGACCAACCUCAGACCUUUCCUGCUUUGAAAAUAUUAAAGAGCUCAAUCUACUUAAGCAAAUUCUUUCUUUUCUGAAAAAGAAACAUCUCCUGCAUGAUUUUCGUUCCGGUCUUCCUUCAAGUCACACAACUUUGCAUACAUUGCUAGUUUUGCUUGAGUCUGUCAAUAAAAUCCUUGACCAAAAAAAUCAAUGCAUUGGCGUUGUCCUUGACAUACCUUAGGCCUUUACAGUUUGAACAGGGAGUGGGGUGUAAUAUCUAUCAAGUGCUUCUUUCAUUGUUCUAUUAAAUUACCUAUAAUCAUGCUGAUAUGUUUUGUUAAGUUUUGAAGAUUGCACUUGCUGAAUAUAGGCCGUGUUUAUUUCCGCGUUUAUUCCCUGGAACAAGAAGGUUUUACGCCCAGUUUCCGUCCUUUUUUGGGAUGACUAACUUUUGUGAUCUUUGCGAGUAUUUAUUUUGUCAUUGAUCCUAGUGAAGUAAUGUUUAAAUGCUUUUGGCGCUAUGCCGUUUCAGCAUUUAAAAACUUCUAUUGCACAGGGCCGUCGAGAGACGGGCCGGGCCCCAGGGCUGGGACUGUCAUGGGGCCCCACCGUCGAAGGUUGCAAAAACCUUUUUUGGGUUACGCCCUUAGCAAUGCAGUUAGAUGAACUGUAAAAGGCAUGAAUUUUGAAACAACGCCCCCAGAAACACUUGAAUUUGUAUUUUAAGGUCUUUAACAGAACAUGUAAUUAGUGGCUAUAUAAAACAAAUCAUUAAAACAAAUCAGUUUAAAAAUCAGAGUUAAUUUAAUGUUUAAAACAUUGCUUUUCUUGCUUUCCUCAUGGCGAAAUCCUUAAUCUUUUCCCACAAUCUUUUCCAGCUCUCGUUCGCUCCCCGACCAUCAGGAGAAGCCAAUUUUGAUUUUGAACCAUUAUUAAUAGUGUGCCCAGACAGCCUGCAUGGCAAACAAUAGAGUGCAGCCUUUGUAGGACUGAGAACAAGCCAGCUUCGUCUUACUACCUCCCCAUUUUGCUGCUUCACAUCUAGGACCGUUGUUGGAAAUUUGUGGCCUUCGCAAUCUUUGGGAAACUCUGGAGGAUGAGGCAAAUUACCAGUUCUAACAACCUUUUUUAACUCCUUGAUCGUUGGAAAUUCGGUUAAUGUGCCGACAUCAAAACAAGAUGAUCCACUAUGAACAGUAUCUUGAUUUAAUGACGAAUCAGUAGUGCUUUCUCUACUUUCUGUGGUGUCAUGGUCUACCGAAGCAGCCAAGCCGUUUGUGUCUUCUUCUUCAGCAAUGCUUUGAACAGAGCUUUCGCCAGGUUUAUUUAAAGUUGAAUCACCUUCCUUGUCUCUUUUAAAGGUCUCAAAUCUUUGUUUCUUCAAUUGGAACAUGCCAACAAGGCAAAGACAUUUGAACAGUAGAGCAUGACAGGUAUGAUCAUCACUUUAUAGAUGACUUCUGCUGUGUGUGGACUGAUGUUUCGUGGCACUCGUUGUAAAAGCUUGAUUCUUGAUGAAAUCUUUUUUAAUGUUUUCUCAAAAUGAUCAUUGAAUGAAGGUUUUUAUCCAGUAUCACCCCUAAAUAUUCAUAGCUUUUAGACUCAGUGAUGCUUUGUCCUUUCAUCUUGAUCUCUAGUGGCGUUGAUUUGGAUGUUCUCUGACCUGUUCCGAAUAGGACACAUUCGGUCUUUGUUGUUUUCAAAUUAGUGACUAACUUGUUUUUGGUGAGCCAUUGAGCAACUUGGUCAAUGUCGGUAUUUAAUUGAAUCUCGAUCUCAUUAAAUUCUUUUUGUGCACAGUAAAUGACUGCAUCAUCAGCGUUUAAGAUGAUUUCACAAUGGUUUAGUUGAAAGUAUAUAUCAUUAAUAAGCAAGGUGAACAAUAACGGUCUCAAAAUGGAUCCUUGAGGAACUCAGAUUGAGUUGCAGACUUGACUCAAUCAAAUUGAACCAAUUGUGUUCUGUCAAACAAGUAGUUUUCAAAUCAUUUAAGUUCUUUAUGAUUGAUUCCAUAUAGGGGUAUGCUUUCUUGAGGUCUACAAAAGCUGCACCCGUUAAUAAUCCUCUAUCCAUGCCUUGUCUGAUACAGUAAAAGAAGAGUGCCUUGCUUUAGAAAUGCAAUUUAUUGUACAAGCACUUCAGAAUAGGUUGAUUUUGGCCAGUGGAAUUUGUGGAGCAAUGCACCACCAUCAAUCACGCAAACAUGAUUUGCAGUUGGAGUAGUUGCAUUCUGGGUGUUGCUUCUAAAUAGUCGUGUGUAUAUUUUUGCACUUACUUAGGCUAGCCCUUACUUUUCACGCCGUCCUAGCAGGAUUAGUGCACAAGAUUCGUGACUAAUCCUGUCUGUUCUUUAGCUUACCCGGGCGCAUAUUGCUGUUAGGAUACAGGCCACACUAAGUUAUUCGAAUGCUACGACCAUGAAGACAGAUCUGAAGAAUCAAGCAAGCUUUUAGAGCCACUGUAGGGCUCAACACAUACAUCAAUAUAUCGCUAUAAUUUCUACCAUGUACCGUUUCGCAAGUAUCAUUGCUAAAUCUACCUUCGGUGCAAGCGUACAUUAAAGUAAGUCGUUUACAUUUUUAUUGUUGCCUUGUAUUGGUACGUUUUAUCUACUCAUUUCGCCAGCCUUUAACCGGUAGUUUUUUGUCUACUCAUGUCACGUUUUUUGUCUAGUUUUUUGUUUGUUGCCAUUUCAUACCGUUACUUUAUCUUAUGCAUUGAGUUUCGUUGCUAUUAUCAUGUCCUUAUUAUUCGUAAUAGAUUGAAUAUAAUUGAUUCUAAUUUAUGUUGCAAUUUAGUUUAUGUUUUCAUGUGGCACUAUAUAUAGGUAAAAUUUCUAUUAUAUACACAUUUCUAGCCAUUCUUUGCCACAUUUAUCAUACUCUUACGCGACCGAUGAAGGUCCGUUUUUUUUACAUGCUAUUUUAUCACAUGCUAUUUUAGUUAGUCUAUUGCGAAUCGUAUAUUUAUUUUGUAUUGCAGCUCGAACCUAUGAAUAUCUAUGAUUAUCUCUGAUCGCAUCUUCCAUGUUCUCAAGUUGGUUUCGGAUAUUUCGUCAAACAUUCUCUGCUUCAUCAAUGUUUACUUGAAAGUCCUCUGAAAUGUUUUGGAGAUCGGACCAUUCUUUGAUCGACGUAAGAUUUUUGUUGUCUCUACUAGGCUCAGUAUGAACAUGCCGUUCACUUGUUUUUCUAAAUGCGUCAGUCACUUCACUCAUUUGUCAUUGUCUGCACAUCUAUGCGUACAUCUAACCCAUAACUGGGGAGUAGAUUGUGAAAUGCUUCUUCCUCGCGUCAGACCACCGUUGAUCUUUAACUGUAGCUAUUCAAAGUGCCAUAUCGUUUUUACAAACUUUGAGAUGUUCGAUAGUUCUAACGUCACUGAUGACAUCAUCGUGUUAUUUUUAAACUUUGUCGGAUAAAGCGUGACAAAUUAUUGGUACACGGGUAAAGCGUGACAAAGUAUUGCUACAAAGUUUGGACCCUUUACAAUAUGCAGUUUAAAGGCAUUUCACACAGGUAAAAGUGGCUAGACAACAACGGUUGACCAAUCAACGUGCAAAAAACAUGUGAACAGUUUCCGCCUUUCUGCAAAUCAGCGAUACCCUAGAGUGGUUUCACGUGCAUAGUUUCAAAUUCCUCGCAGUGAGUGCUCUGAUCGAGUUACUUUUGGAUUCGCUGUACUUAUGCAUCUCAAAUGCCUUUAAAGGAAAAUAAUGUCUUUUCAACAGAAGGAUUCACAGUUCAAUAUCGAAAGUCACACAAAUUGCUGAAAACCCCCUCCCUCCUGACUAGCGGCUAUAACUAUUUUGUCGAGAAACCGCAGUAUGAGGCUCGCAAUAUGUUAUUCUCCAAUGAUUUUCUAUUCGAAUGGUAUCAAUCUCGAUAGCGUGGCAUUUCAUUCUUGUGCAAACCACCAUUCGACCAGACUAUUGUUAUGCUAAAAAGCUGCAAUUUCAUGCGGUGAUGGUGGAAUCGGCAGAUUUAUUUAUAUCUCUGUUUGUCUUUUAUUCGUUAGAUUUCGAAAGGUUGUGGAAGAUGAACGCAGUCUAAUCCAUAGUCGCAUGAAGGAAAAUUUAAGUGCUGAUUUUAAAGAGCUCUGACACUUAAGUACAGUAAUGGCAUCCAUGCCAAAAAUGGAUUCAAAACAGCUGUCAUACCGCAUUGCAGUUCCUGAUGAUUUUACUCAGAUCGAUAUGUUACUUCAAGAGCAUUUUUUUCCUAAUGAGCCAACGAAUGUAGCGCUGGGUUUAAAACUAACACCGAGUCGUGUUGAGCGAAUCCGAGAAAUCAUCAGGCAAUGCUUGACUCAACCGUACAGCUUCGUUGCCAUAAAUGAAGAAAAUGAAAUCGUUGGUUUACGCUUGAAUGAACUGCAUAAACCAAGUCAAAAUGCAAUUGAUGAAUGGAAGCUAGGGAAUGCUGUUCGAAGCGGACUCUCUGCUUGGGAAAUUUUGCAGGUCUACUUGGCAAAACUAGAAGAGGAUGUUGACAGGCUUAUCCCAGAAGAUUGUCGUAAGAACAUACUGAAAUUUUUCAUCCUGUGUGUGCACCAGAAAUUUCGACGCCUUGGCAUCGCGGCCAAAUUGGUGGAUUUAUCUUGUGAAAACGCCCGAAAGCUCAAAUUCUGUUGCGUUUUUGCAUUGCUAACUGCAAAGGCAACUCAAAACCUUUUCAAGAAGGAUGGCUUUGAAGUCUUGCGAGUGAUAAAGCAUAAAGAUUUUGUAGAUGAAAACGGAAAGAGAUUGUUGAACUGUAACGAUGGAACCGACCAAGGACUGCUAGUAUUUAAAAGAUUUCAGCCUAGAAAAUAGUGUUUUGAUUCAGCAUUGAAACAGAAUUCAGUGUGGUUAUGGUUGCAGUAUAAACAUUGAUCAACAGUCUGGCUAAAGAAGGAAAUCAAAUUAUUGGGUUAUGAAACGAUGUGUUGGUUCAUUGAGAAGAACAUUUACUUUAAAAUUAUACAAAGAUGAAGGGCUGACGUCGCUAGCUUGACCUCUCUCGAGAUUGGGAAUGUUCGAAAUAACACAUUAUCCACAAAAGCAGAUAAUUCUUAGGUUAUCAACUAUUUAAAUCAACCAAACAGAUUUUCAAGUUACUGAACAACGGAGGUUUCAAGCUUUGGUGAUCUCAUCUUAAUGAAAAUGCGCUACUACCUGCUAUCUCAACUGAUUUAUUUGGUAAUAACUGAAGGUGGUAAAUAGAAGUAUGCAUAUCUCAAAGUGAAAGGAAAGGUCAGAAAAUGAAUAAUAAUAGAAAUAAUCGAAUGUUUUAUCAGGAUAGCCUAUCAGUACCAGAUGUUAUCACUAGGGUCCUGAUACUAUAUCAUAAAGCAUAAAGCAUAUAUUUAAUAGUAACAGAUCUGCGAAAAAUAAAUUAAAUGAGUAAAAUCCAGUCCAAUCCAAAGAUAAAAAAAGAUAAAAAUUGCAUCACAUCAUGAAAUGAUUUUGGACAUGAAAUGAUUUUGGAAUGAUCUAAAACCGUCUAAAAACAGGACUCGAUUCAAUCUUUCUGGCACUUAGUGGCAAGUUGUUCAAUUCAUUUUCUGCCAGAUAAUAAAACCUUUUCGAUCAAAUUCUGUUUCACUUAAGACAACUUAACAAGAUGUUGGUCAUUUCUGGUAUUUUUCCCAUGAGCAUUUAUGACGAAAUAAUCUUUCAUUGCUCUGCAGAUAGGCUUAGGUAUCAAACACCAAAAUACAGACAAACUUCACCAAAUUCCUGCUCUGAUACUAGGCACAUGCAAGCUGACUGAUGCAAGCCCGUUUGAUCUUAUUAUAUCAAGGCUUCUACGCUCACGACUUUCAAUUCUUUUCUUGUAUCUUGUAGACCAUCUGAGGUACAACGAACCACAAUAUCCAGGCACAGGCAUUAUCAUGGUGCGAUAAAUCUUUUCGGCACUGAAGCUCUUGAAAUGCGCAUUCACGUAAAACCUAGAUUUGCUAAAUUUUACAAUUUAUUUUAAAUAUAUGGCGGAUUUAUGACUGUUUUUGCAGUUGUCGAUGACGUCAUCAAUCACGUGAUACUGAGGCAAAAUUUUAUUGGUCCCAUCUUGGAUUCUGAAUCUCCAUACUUAAAUGUAGAUAAAACCAUCGAGAUCAUUUCGGUUAGGUGAGAAAUCAAUUUUCACAGCCAUAGCCCUGCCUACUUCUGCAUGAUCUUAUUUUCGGUUUUCGUCCAAGUCACACAACUCAUACAUUGCUAGAUUUGCUUGAGUCUGUCAAUAAAGGCCUUGGCCAAAACAAACAAUGCAUCGGCAUUGUCCCUUGACAUACCUAAGGCCUUAAUACAUAAGAUCAUUGUUAACAAGAUAUUUAUUAUGCAUGUCAUUGAUUUGCGACAGUUGACAUAGCUACUGCCAAGACUGUCUACCAAGACUGUUUCAAGCAUAAAUGAAGCCUGGCUUUAUUGCAAAAGUUGACAGAAAUAAAAAUUAUUACGUAUUUCCCAGGGCCGGUGAAACCGGGGGGCCGGGAGGGGGGCAUGGCCCCUACUUUUCUGCAAAGCUAAAGAAAAAUUGUAGGCAAAAGUGGAAAUAAAUGUAGUAUGAUUCUGUAAGUAACUUUGCCUAGUAUUCUCUUAAAGGUGUCCUUAGCUUUACUUUGGUUGCUAUGUCUUUACCAUAGAAGACAUACAUAAAAUUGAAUAUGGGAAUUAGAUCGAAGAAAUCGGUCUUUGUCUAAGUUUUACAACAAGUAACAGCUUGUCUUAGCAAAUAGAUCGAGAAACCUAGUCCAGAAUAACUUGGUGUCAGUACAAAUUGACGGAGUUUCGUUUUUUUCAUUGCCUAAACUUGGCACACAAGGUCUAUUUGUUUACGAAAACUUUCUCAGAAACUUUACAAAAAGAGAGAAAUCAGCUGUUGAAGGAAAAGAAACAACUGGAGAGAACUUAUAUGAGUAAUAAAGUAUGGGCAGAUUUGUUCUUUAAGAGUAUCAUCAAGAAAACUUCAGAGUUUGAUCGGUUGGAAAAUCCAUUCCUACUAAGAAAGAAAAAAUAUCGACGCAAUUAUAAAUUCCAUUUAAACUCAUUUUGACAAACCCAGUUUGAAGGUUUUUCAAAUUUUUGUUAAAGCAUUUCAAUUCCGAAAAAGUUAAGAUCAGAUGUUACAAAAUUGCUUGACUUUUUAUUUUUAGUUGAUAGUUUUUCUGUUGAUAUUUCAACGUUAAUGUUUUUUAUCAACCCGUGUUUUAUUUCUUUUUCUCCCCCAUCUUAUUUCGGGUACUUUUAAAAUCUAAAAAAGGUUUCAUUACGAGCUAUAUGACAGUGGUUAUUCUAAAACUUUGCAACUUUUCUAUUUGAAGUCAACAUCACAAUAGACGCGACUAUGCAACAUCUUCAGUCAAAAUUCAUUUUAGAUACAGUUUCUGGCCAUCCUAAGACACUAUAAUUCUGAAAUCUUUCUUGCCACCAACCAUGGUGGCGGCCUUUCCUAAGCCCUUUCAAGACUUUGAUAUUUUGGCCCCUCCACUUUCAAAUACUUUUCGCUGGCCCUGAUUUCCUGAAAGGAUACUUUGCCUACUAGCCUUAGCCUCUAUAAGUUUUUCAUAAUAACUUAGUUUUGCGUGACUUCCUUCCAAAAAGGUUCCCUCUCGCUUUCCUUAUUUUUCAAAAAAAAUUGAGAAUAUCUUCAAAAAGCAUUUUUGAUUUGAUUUGCAUUUUUUAAUUUGAAGUUUUUGUUGUGUUUAGUUUUUAACGUCAUCCACAGGUGGUAAUUAUUUGUUGAUUUUUAGAGACAUUACAAAAAUAAUGUACUUACUUAUCUUAGAAGCAAGUCCAAAGAAAAGCAGCUUUUCUAUCAACCUGCAUCUUCAUUGGCUUUUGAUCAAAUCCAAAUUCUGACUAGUCUUGAUGAAUCACUCUACUUUUCAAGCCUUAAGCCCAAUUUCUUAUAGAAAUAAUUGAUUCUAUCAGGUUUCUGCGUCAAAAUUUCUGCUUGAAAAGUUUGGCAACUUGAUAAUAGGUUUCGGAAAAUUGUCGAAUUUCCAUGAAAAUUUUAAUACAGGAAAGAACCUGUAAAUCUGCAUUACAGAACUUUUGGCUAAAGACUUUAUUUUCUAUGAGCAAAGGGUUUUAAUUUAGUGAAUGAGAUAACAUGCUGUUAACAGUGUUGAAAGUAUUCACAGACUAACGCAGUUUGAUUAACGCAGAGGUAAUAAUAUGAACAACUAACCGAAUACAGCAAUGCUCUUUUAUAUGUUUAUUGUAAUUUUCUAGAAGUUUCUAUGAAAGUAUCGUUCCAGAAGGUUCGAGAAAGCGGAAGUACUUAUUAUUGCAAAAAAUAGAAUUGAACUAAUACUAUGAAUAUACUAGAAUGAUAUGAGGGAUUAAACUAGAAUGUUCUACAGUAUCUUGACAGUCUAGUAAGAGUGUAUAUUUCCAAUACUCCUCCUCACUUGCUGCCGGACUGUUCAAUCGUUUCUUUGACUCCAAUCAUCCCUCAUAGUUUCAUAAGUUGAUUACUGCUCAAACCUUUUGCCAGUACAUCAGCUAUCAUGUCUUCGGAUUUACAAUACUGUAAUUCUAUUUUACCAGAUGCCACAUGCUCACGAAUAUAGUGAUGUCGAUGUCUUUUGCACGUCCAUGGAACUGUGCAUUUUUCGCCAAACAUAUAGCGGAUUGGUUGUCUUCAUAUAUCACAGUUGAUUUGACUCCAGUUUCCUUCAAGUUGGAAAGAGGUUGUUGCAGCCAUAUGGCUUCUUGAACUGCACUUGCUAGAGCUAUGUACUCAGCUUCAGCAGUUGAAAGUGCAACGCAGGUCUGCGUUUUGCUUCUCCAGCUGACUGCUGCUCCACUAAUUUUGAAGAUAUAUCCCGAGGUUGAUUUGCGGUCAUCUAAAUCUCCGGCCCAAUCUGCAUCUGAAUAAUCUGUGCACUUGUCUUCAUUUUCUUGACAGUAGAGUAAUCCAAGGUUAAGCGUACCAUUCAAAUACCUUAGGAUUCGUUUGACAGCUGUCCAAUGCUGCUUCGUUGGUUUAGCACAGAAUCUUGCAACGUUACUUACAGCAUAUCAGGUCGUGUUCUUGCUGAAAGAUAUUGUAAGCUUCCAAUUGCAGAUUGAUAUAUCUCUUGGUUGAAUAGGUCACUUCCUUCAGUAGCUUUUGCCAAUUUCAACCCAGUUUCAACUGGUGAAGCAACAGGCUUCGAUUGUUUCAUUUGAAACUUCUUCAGUAGAUCCUUUGAUUACGAUUCUUGACUAAUCGAUAUCUCACCAGUUUCUUUCUUCUGAGCAAUCUUUACGCCAAGAAAAUAAUGUAGUUCACCGAUGUCUUAAACAUUACACUUCUCUGCAAUUAGUUUCUUGAAUUCUUUCAUGCGUUUUUCUGUCUUUCCAGCCAAAAUAAUGUCAUCAACGUAAACAACAAUUAAGAAGACUUCUCCUCCUGAAGCUGUAUAGAUGCACGGAUCACUUUUAGCUUGUUUGAAUUCCAUUCUCUUCAGGUGCUUGUCUAUUUCUUCAUUCCAACAUCUAGGUGGCAGUAAACCCUUGUGCAACGAGUCACGCUUCGUAUCGUUCGAUUCUUCCAUCAGCGUCAAGUUUUCGCUUAAACACCCAUUUACUGCCAAUGGCAUUUUUUUCCAUGAGGUAAUUCGAAAAGAUCCCAGACUUCGUUCUGUUUUAAUGAUUCCAUUUCACUUUCCAUUGCCUUCUCCCAUGCCUUUUUCUCAAGACUUGACAGAGCUUCGGCUGUCGACAUAGGCUCACACAACUCGCUAUCAGCAAUGUAGGCUCCUACUCCAUGGUAAUCCCGUGGUUUUCUUGUUUUGGCUGAUCUUCGCACUUUUACUUCAGUUGUCUCGUACAUAUUUCAGUUGCCUUCUUCUUUGAUGCAUUCUAACUCAACAGUUAGUUGACCUUCUCUACUUGCUGUUGUUUCAAUGCUCUCCUUCUCUUUUGUUGACUUUGAUUCUUUGAAUAAUUCAUCUCUGCUAUAAAAUACUUUUGAGUUCUUUUCAUUGUAUAAGCGAUAACCCUUUGUUUCUGCGCCAUAUCCAAGGAAUAUACAUUUUCUUGCUUUCGAAUCAAGCUUACUCCUCUCAUCAUUUGGCACGUGGGCAUAUGCUUCACACCUGUUGGGGCCCAGACCCUCCUUGGUAUCUGAAGACCCCACACAGUUAUUAUUAUUACAUUCGGUAUUGUAAUACGUGCCGAGAUACUGUGUUAUACGUGUAGGGUUCUAAUUAUAAUGUUGAUUUAAUAUUUGAUUUAAAGCAGUGGUAAAUAACAUGUUUUGAUUCUCAAUACCCUAUAAGGACAAACGUAUGGAAAAUAUCAACCGACAAGUCUCAGUCAACGUGACUAUGUAUGUUGUAACUCGAAAUAAGUUAGUUAGUUGUUAGGAGUUGGUUGAAGUAGAGUUGAAGUAAGGAUUGUGAUUGGCGGAAAUGUGAAAUAAAAUACUGAUGGAUUUGAUACAAAAUAGUUACACAAAAUGGUGAUUUUUCUCUGAAUCUUCAUCUAACACUUCGUCUAUCAUUAAAUAUUAAGAUAGGGGCACCGCUAGAAAUAGUGGUCCCAACAACACCCAAAAACCUCGAGAUGCUGAACACUAGGUUUCUCGCCAGUCCAUGCUUCAUAUGGUGUCACACCCACCACAGCUUUCGCUAUCGAGGUUUAAUCGGGUAACAGUUUGAGAGGUUAACAUUUUUUCAAAAUUCUCAAAAUAGGAACCAUUAUCGACAUUAGAAGAUUAAUAUUAAAAGCAUAUUUGUGAUUAAACCCAUUUUCUGUAAUUGUUGCGUUUCGGUCCUUUUUUCUUCCAAGAAUGAGCCUACGUCGAAUCCACUGUGGAUGCCUUCUUGCCAAUAGUAGAAGAUGGUGCUAUGGAGACUUUUUAGCGGAUAGUUGUGGAAACAUAAUUAUAUUUUUCAUUUUUAGCCUACACCGUCGGUUUACAUCUAGAUUCACGGCCAAUGUUUCAAGAAUUGUCUCUUGCAAUGUUCGAAAAGUAAUUUUCUGUUUGGAGCUGUCAUGGCCUAAUUUCUUUUCAGGAAGACUGGGUUUGGGAUCUUGAAAGCCGAAAUUGAGAGGACUGCCGAGAGAGGGGGACAAUGGAGGAAAAUUGCCCCAGGGCCUCGACGUCUAGUGAGCCACAUAAAGUAAUGAAUUCUAUUUUAUGAAUUCAAUUAAUCAAUCUUGGCAAAAGAAAAGUAUGUCUAAAAUUAGUAAAACGUUUUAUACGAUUGCAAGAAACGACUGCAAGAAAUAUUCUGAAAUGUAUUCUUAAACUAACCUGAAGGCCGUUGUCGCAAAAAAUUUCCGGGGCCUCGUCUUUCGGUUUUGCCCCAGGACUUCCGAAACCUCUCGGCGGCCCAGCAGAUGGGGCCUACCAAACUGAUGAGCGAUGAUGAGCAAAUAAAAUUGUGAUGCUGAGGUUGAUACUUAUGAAGAUUUCUUAAAAUUUAACGAUUAAAUGUGCUAUUUUGAAAAGCAAGUACGGUAGACAGAAGAGACAUGAAGUGGCUGUAUCUACCUUUCAUUUAUGUUUGAUCGCACAGCUUUGUUAACGGUUCUCUGGACUGCAAUUUUCACCAUUUUCUAACGUUGCUAUAGAAUUUGCGCGGGUCAGCAGUCCUCUCUCUCCUGAUUGAUACACAAGAACAUUUUUGUGAAUGCAAGAAAAUCUAUAGAAACUUGAUCAGACUUUUUGAACACAUUGUUUUCAAAAUUUUAUUACUGAUCAAGCAGACGUAUUGGUAAAAGGAUAAACUCCAAUGUUGAAUUUUGAGCAGAAAAAAACAGAGUUGCGAUAUCUUUAUAACAGCCUAUAUCAGUAUCUUUUGGUUUAAUUUCACAAAACUAAACGAGACAAAAUGACCAGGCAUUAUGGCAAAAUCUCUAGUUACUAUAAUUCACGGAGAUGGUAUAAAUAUUAUUUAUCUACUUUCAUGUCUUCGAGUUUCUGAACAACAUCUCCCUUUUUACUUUCAACUUUCUUAUUUCCCUUGGCCUUCCCUUUCUUUUUUGGCUCUUCGUCAAUCGGCGCUGGUUUGACGAACUUAAUGAAGUCCAUAUUGUUCGGCAUAAAUGGCUGAAGAGCC